rnacentral:lncRNA from 1 species
CAGAAAUUCAAUGAGGGUGCUCAGCCGGUAGCCCGGGCUAGCCGCAGCUGCAGCGGCCGCCGCCACGGCGGCUCCCGGGGGAGGAGGGGCUGGGGCUGACGGGGGUCCGCCGCUGCCCCCGCCGCCGCCUCCGGGCGGGACCAGCUGGUGGUUCUCCAGCUGCACUGGGGCCAUGGCGGCGCAGGACCGGGCUUGGCGCAACGGCACACGAUGCGGUCCUCGAGCCUCCCGGGCGCUCGGUCACCGCGCCGAAACGGGAGCGGGCAGAGUCGCCACCGCCUACCGCCGGGCCGCUUCAGAACAGGAAGCCGUGCGCCGACCGCGGAAGCCCGCCCCCAUGUAGCGAGAAGUCCGCCGACCCCAGGGACAGGAGCGAGGGGCGGGGGGAGGCGGGGAUGGGGGGGAAGCAGGGCGGCCCCGCAGAGGGGAAGCUGCGCCUCCGCAAACGCUCAGAAGCAGCUUCGCCAGACAGCCGCAACGUACAUGUUGACUGCCCGAGGCGGAAGUCGAUCGGCAGAGCGGAAGGGGGACCUGCAGAGGACCCUCCGACAGGUUGGUCAGACCAUGCCCAUGGUUCCUCCUCUCGACUUCACUAUGAAUGCCGCAUCUGUUGAAUGAAUGCAGUUUCUGCUCUUGCUUUUGGAUAGAAGUGAUUGCAAAUCUUAUCAAAAUAAUGAAAAAAAUUACUUUUCAAUUCCUUUUCAACCCUUUUGAGUCUGAGGGGCAGCUGUACAUUAAAUGAAACCAUAUGUAUCAUAAUUUCAUUUUUCCAUCAAAAGAGCUUUAAAGGAAAUUCCCCUUUUUCUCCAUGUUUUCAAUAUUUUUUGUUCCUUUUGUUAAAAUCAGAUUAAUCUCAUGAAACAUCUGAAGCAUUUAAGUCAAUUUAAGAGCUGAGAAAAUAUCAUGCUGCUAGUUCUGAAACGAUCUGAAGUGCAAAUCAGGUGAUCACCAAAUAGGGGAACAACUGAAAAAUGUGAAUGAAAGAAGUAUGUACCUAUACUAUAGUGUCA